rnacentral:rRNA from 1 species
GAUGAACGCUGGCGGCGUGCCUAAUACAUGCAAGUCGAGCGAACGGACGAGAAGCUUGCUUCUCUGAUGUUAGCGGCGGACGGGUGAGUAACACGUGGAUAACCUACCUAUAAGACUGGGAUAACUUCGGGAAACCGGAGCUAAUACCGGAUAAUAUUUUGAACCGCAUGGUUCAAAAGUGAAAGACGGUCUUGCUGUCACUUAUAGAUGGAUCCGCGCUGCAUUAGCUAGUUGGUAAGGUAACGGCUUACCAAGGCAACGAUGCAUAGCCGACCUGAGAGGGUGAUCGGCCACACUGGAACUGAGACACGGUCCAGACUCCUACGGGAGGCAGCAGUAGGGAAUCUUCCGCAAUGGGCGAAAGCCUGACGGAGCAACGCCGCGUGAGUGAUGAAGGUCUUCGGAUCGUAAAACUCUGUUAUUAGGGAAGAACAUAUGUGUAAGUAACUGUGCACAUCUUGACGGUACCUAAUCAGAAAGCCACGGCUAACUACGUGCCAGCAGCCGCGGUAAUACGUAGGUGGCAAGCGUUAUCCGGAAUUAUUGGGCGUAAAGCGCGCGUAGGCGGUUUUUUAAGUCUGAUGUGAAAGCCCACGGCUCAACCGUGGAGGGUCAUUGGAAACUGGAAAACUUGAGUGCAGAAGAGGAAAGUGGAAUUCCAUGUGUAGCGGUGAAAUGCGCAGAGAUAUGGAGGAACACCAGUGGCGAAGGCGACUUUCUGGUCUGUAACUGACGCUGAUGUGCGAAAGCGUGGGGAUCAAACAGGAUUAGAUACCCUGGUAGUCCACGCCGUAAACGAUGAGUGCUAAGUGUUAGGGGGUUUCCGCCCCUUAGUGCUGCAGCUAACGCAUUAAGCACUCCGCCUGGGGAGUACGACCGCAAGGUUGAAACUCAAAGGAAUUGACGGGGACCCGCACAAGCGGUGGAGCAUGUGGUUUAAUUCGAAGCAACGCGAAGAACCUUACCAAAUCUUGACAUCCUUUGACAACUCUAGAGAUAGAGCCUUCCCCUUCGGGGGACAAAGUGACAGGUGGUGCAUGGUUGUCGUCAGCUCGUGUCGUGAGAUGUUGGGUUAAGUCCCGCAACGAGCGCAACCCUUAAGCUUAGUUGCCAUCAUUAAGUUGGGCACUCUAAGUUGACUGCCGGUGACAAACCGGAGGAAGGUGGGGAUGACGUCAAAUCAUCGUGCCCCUUAUGAUUUGGGCUACACACGUGCUACAAUGGACAAUACAAAGGGCAGCGAAACCGCGAGGUCAUGCAAAUCCCAUAAAGUUGUUCUCAGUUCGGAUUAUAGUCUGCAACUCGACUACAUGAAGCUGGAAUCGCUAGUAAUCGUAGAUCAGCAUGCUACGGUGAAUACGUGCCCGGGUCU